rnacentral:rRNA from 1 species
CGUAGGGUGCGAGCGUUAAUCGGAAUUACUGGGCGUAAAGCGUGCGCAGGCGGUUUUGUAAGCCAGAUGUGAAAUCCCCGGGCUUAACCUGGGAAUGGCAUUUGGGACUGCAAGGCUGGAGUGCGGCAGAGGAGACUGGAAUUCCUGGUGUAGCAGUGAAAUGCGUAGAUAUCAGGAGGAACACCGAUGGCGAAGGCAGGUCUCUGGGCUGACACUGACGCUCAUGCACGAAAGCGUGGGGAGCAAACAGGAUUAGAUACCCUGGUAGUCCACGCCCUAAACGAUGUCGACUGGUUGUUGGGGGUUUGACACUCUCAGUAACGAAGCUAACGCGUGAAGUCGACCGCCUGGGGAGUACGGCCGCAAGGUUA